ensembl:lncRNA
AAUGAAUCUGAAGUCUGAUUAAACUCACAGUGUCCUUGUGACGGAGAUGGGAAGAGACAGAGUAUUUUGUCUAAUUUCAAGUUCAAGAAAGCAAGGAACACAAAAGUUAAGUGGCUGGUGUCCAUUUAUUCAAGUAAAUUUAUUCAGAAGUUGAGCCAGAAAUAAAGAUCAAGUCUCCUGGCCCAUGCACUAGGCCCCAUGCUGCCUCACAGCUUUCAAAACCAUCAUUUUCUUGGGAAAUGCUAAAAAGCUUUCCCCUACCAUACAUACUAGAUUCAGACACACUGCCAUCUACUGACCCACCAAAGGAUGUGCCAGCAUAAGACAUCCUGACCUUCAAGGGAGGGAGGAACACCUUGAGAGGAGUUGAGAUCCUGCUUUCUCUUCAGAAUACCAUCUCCAGGAUGCCAAUGGGUUGUGUCUACAGUACUAUGUAGGAAAGUGCUGCAAGAGGUCAUGAGACCUUCAUGUGAGAGCUGCUCUCCCUGUACCUUGAGGAAAGAAACCUCUUUCUCUCUGAAGAUGAACAGUCACACAGAAGGAUCACUCUUCUAUGCUGUGCUGGCCCAGACCCGGCCCUCUCCAGCCAGGAAACAUAAAAUACAGAAAGUCAUAAAACCCAGAAGUUUGAUUUGGUACCGAAAUGCCAUCACCCAUGGGUAUAUAUUAUACUGUAUGACUAGUUAA